ACAAGCAGUAUUAGAAAAUCUAAUACUAGGAAGAGAUAUUUUUCCUUCUUCCCAUCAGGGGCAGUGAGACCUGGCAGUUUAUCCAAGCUUUCUGGGUGAAGAUGCAAACCAAGAUCCAGAUGUCUCUUCCUGUUGAGCGAGGAAAUCAAAGCAGACCACUGUCCAAGUUGCUGUAUGAGCUCUAAGCACAUGUACCUGCUAUGAAGACAGGCUUGACAAGGAGAAAGGAUAUGAUGGUAGUACUGAACCUGGUGUCCUUCCAGUAACAUGGGUAAGCAGAAGGGACUCCUUCUUGUGCAAGCUAUGCUGCAUGAAUUACCUUCUUCAUGGAUCUGUCUCUCCCUUUCUCCUGUAAGAAGGAAAUUGGAUAUUCAUCUUAAAAUAAGAACAGAAAAGAAAAGAUGGACCUUUCCUGGCACCACACGCUUUCUUCCCAGAGCUGUGUUCCAACUGUCGCUGAGUUUAAACCAUAGAAAACUCUGGGAAAU